CACCGGCUCGCCCUAGUGUUUUGCUUUCUCUUUUCUGCCCCCGAUCACGCUCUCGCGCACGGUUGUCAAUGCUCCGCGCCGCGUGUCAUUGGGAGGCGCCGAAGGCGGGGGUCGGCUCGGAAGGAAAAGCUUGAGUGUCGCUCUUCUCUUUGAUCAUCACUCUAUUUCCUAAGCCUCAAGCGCUGGGCAUGUGGAUGCCUGCUGGACAUCUCCACUUGGCUCCCUCACAGGGAAGCCAAGUAAGUGGUUGCUGAUUCAGCAUUCUACUCCCCAUAAGCCAUCCAAUGGCAGAUCCAGCUUACCUUUCCUAUGACAUCUGUUAACAGCUUGAGGGACAGAGGAUCAUGAACCAAAGAGUCCGUGUAAAAGGAACCAAGGGUUCCACAGAUGUUUGGAAAAAUUCAAGAGUUAGUCCUCUGUUCUGGACCCCAAGCUGACACAAACCUACGAGCCAAGGGAGCCAG